AUACGUAGGUGCCAAGCGUUAUCCGGAUUUACUGGGCGUAAAGGGCGUGUAGGCGGUCUUGCAAGUCAGAAGUGAAAUUCCUGAGCUCAACUCGGGCGCUGCUUCUGAAACUGCAGGACUUGAGUGCUGGAGGGGAUAGCGGAAUUCCUAGUGGAGCGGUAAAAUGCGCAGAUAUUAGGAAGAACACCGGUGGCGAAGGCGGGUAUCUGGACAGUAACUGGAGCUUAGGCGCGAAAGCGUGGGGAGCAAACAGGAUUAGAUACCCUGGUAGUCCACGCUGUAAACGAUGAUUAAUAGGUGUGGGGGGACUGACCCUUUCCGUGCCGCAGUUAACACAAUAAGUAAUCCACCUGGGGAGUACGGUCGCAAGGCUGAAACUCAAAUGAAUUGGCGGGG
rnacentral:rRNA from 1 species